rnacentral:rRNA from 1 species
UACGUAGGUGGCAAGCGUUGUCCGGAAUUAUUGGGCGUAAAGCGCGCGCAGGCGGUCCUUUAAGUCUGAUGUGAAAAGCCCACGGCUCAACCGUGGAAGGUCAUUGGAAACUGGAGGACUUGAGUACAGAAGAGGAAAAGCGGAAUUCCACGUGUAGCGGUGAAAUGCGUAGAGAUGUGGAGGAACACCAGUGGCGAAGGCGGCUUUCUGGUCUGUAACUGACGCUGAGGCGCGAAAGCGUGGGGAGCAAACAGG